rnacentral:tRNA from 1 species
GCGCGCUUAGCUCAGCGGGAGAGCGCCUGCUUCACAUGCAGGAUGUCGGCCGUUCGAUCCGGCCAGCGUGCACCA